UACAGAGGUCUCAAGCGUUGUUCGGAUUCAUUGGGCGUAAAGGGUGCGUAGGCGGCGCGGUAAGUCGGGUGUGAAAUCUCGGAGCUUAACUCCGAAACUGCAUUCGAUACUGCCGUGCUUGAGGACUGGAGAGGAGACUGGAAUUUACGGUGUAGCGGUGAAAUGCGUAGAUAUCAGGAGGAACACCAAUGGCGAAGGCAGCUCACUGGGACGGUAUUGACGCUGAGACGCGAAAGCGUGGGGAGCAAACAGG
rnacentral:rRNA from 1 species